AGUGAACGCUGGCGGUAGGCCUAACACAUGCAAGUCGAACGGCAGCACAGUAAGAGCUUGCUCUUACGGGUGGCGAGUGGCGGACGGGUGAGGAAUACAUCGGAAUCUACUUUUUCGUGGGGGAUAACGUAGGGAAACUUACGCUAAUACCGCAUACGACCUACGGGUGAAAGCAGGGGAUCUUCGGACCUUGCGCGAUUGAAUGAGCCGAUGUCGGAUUAGCUAGUUGGCGGGGUAAAGGCCCACCAAGGCGACGAUCCGUAGCUGGUCUGAGAGGAUGAACAGCCACACUGGAACUGAGACACGGUCCAAACUCCUACGGGAGGCAGCAGUGGGGAAUAUUGGACAAUGGGCGCAAGCCUGAUCCAGCCAUACCGCGUGGGUGAAGAAGGCCUUCGGGUUGUAAAGCCCUUUUGUUGGGAAAGAAAAGCAGCAGGUUAAUACCCCGCUGUUCUGACGGUACCCAAAGAAUAAGCACCGGCUAACUUCGUG
rnacentral:rRNA from 1 species